UACGGAGGGGGCUAGCGUUGUUCGGAAUUACUGGGCGUAAAGCGCACGUAGGCGGCCUUGUAAGUUAGAGGUGAAAGCCCAGGGCUCAACCCUGGAAUUGCCUUUAAGACUGCAUCGCUUGAACACGGGAGAGGUGAGUGGAAUUCCGAGUGUAGAGGUGAAAUUCGUAGAUAUUCGGAAGAACACCGGUGGCGAAGGCGGCAUCCUGGACCGACACUGACGCUGAGGAGCGAAAGCCAGGGGAGCAAACGGG
rnacentral:rRNA from 1 species